UACGGAGGGGGCUAGCGUUGUUCGGAAUUACUGGGCGUAAAGCGCACGUAGGCGGCUUUGUAAGUUAGAGGUGAAAGCCCAGGGCUUAACCCUGGAAUUGCCUUUAAGACUGCAUCGCUCAAAUUGUGGAGAGGUGAGUGGAAUUCCCAGUGUAGAGGUGAAAUUCGUAGAUAUUCGCGAAGAACACCAGUGGCGAAGGCGGCUCACUGGCCCGGUACUGACGCUGAGGUGCGAAAGCGUGGGGAGCAAACAGGG
rnacentral:rRNA from 1 species